UGCCUUAGUACGGCGAGUGAGCGGCAAAGCUCAAUUUGAAUCUGGUACCUUUGGUGCCCGAGUUGUAAUUUGAAGAGUACCACUUUGGGACUGUACUUUGCCUAUGUUCCUUGGAACAGGACGUCAUGGAGGGUGAGAAUCCCGUGUGACGAGGGUGUCAGUUCUUUGUAAAGGGUGCUCGAAGAGUCGAGUUGUUUGGGAAUGCAGCUCUAAGUGGGUGGUAAAUUCCAUCUAAAGCUAAAUAUUGGCGAGAGACCGAUAGCGAACAAGUACAGUGAUGGAAAGAUGAAAAGAACUUUGAAAAGAGGAGUGAAAAGUACGUGAAAUUGUUGAAAGGGAAGGGCAUUAGAUCAGACUGGUGUUUUGCGCCCCUUGCCUCCCGGGGGCUGGGACCUCUCGCUUCUCAUGGGCCAUCAUCGUGUUUGGGGCCGAAGAAACCUAGGGAUGGGGUUUCUCCGCUCAGUGUAAGGUUUAUCCUGGGGAAUCCGCCACGGGACCGAGAUUGCAACGUGUUCCAAGAGGUGGCAAAUGCUAUAUGCACCG
rnacentral:rRNA from 1 species